rnacentral:rRNA from 1 species
UACAACAUAACAUUAAUGCACUGGAUCCCAUUAGAACUCCGCAGUUAAGCGCGUGUAGGCUAGAGUACUACUGGGAUGGGUGACUGCCCGAGAAGUCCUAGUGUUUUAC